rnacentral:rRNA from 1 species
AUGAGGAAUUCCUCGGACCUUUCUGAGAACCAACUAUGGGAAAAUUCCGUCAAGCUUUGCAGAUUUGAAGACCAUGAGCGCUCUGAACCUCUCGAGCAAUGGUCUAUUAGGGAACAUACCUACAGGCAGAUGCACGCGCUGGAUGACCCGUCAAUAUACAGCAAUAAUCCUUGGCUUUGUGGAUCCCCGUUGGAAGAGUGUGUAAACUCGUCGACACCUAUGUGGAAUGAAGGCAUAUCUUCUUUUGCAGCGAGACAUUGUGGUGUGCAUUCUAUCAGUAUGUGCAAAACAUGUAAGCCAAGUAUCACUAUAAAAAGGCUUUUGCUAUCUCUUCUGUUCCUCGCAACUCAGAUCAAGCCACACAAACCAAGUCUUCCUCCUACAACACAGUGCAUCUUGCUGAAGAUGAAGACUGCACACACGCUGCUCCUGGCGGUCGCCUUCCUCGUGCUGGCAUCAGAGGUUGCAGUGAAGGCGGACGUCUGUACAGGGUCACUUCACAAGACGCCGCUACCGUGUGAUCAGGUAGGUUGCCUGCACAUCUGCCGCGAGCAUGUGAAUGGGGAAGGGCACGCGUGCCCUCAAUGCAAUUGGAGUGCUAGUUGCAACUAUGAUGGAUUAUGCGAGUGUGAUGUCUGCCUUCCUCCUCCUUCUGCUCCUAUCCAACACCAACAGAGUAGGCUCAUGGCGCAUACCACCGGUACACGCACUGUGCCAGGCUCAUCCACGCGUUCGGCGCUCUCCGACGGGGUUUGGGAACCACGACUAUUGGAAAAUCAAAAGUUGACGUGCAUCUCCACACGUUCGGCGCUCUCCGACAAUCGCACACUAUAUACCUCUCCGACAGUCUCAAAUGUUGCCACCACAUCUAGCGACCACACCUGGUGGUGGCCGCUCCUCUCCUGUGCUACUGCGUCAACUACUCAGCUGUGUACUUCACUGAGGAGGUGA